CCCGCUGAACUUAAGCAUAUCAAUAAGCGGAGGAAAAGAAACUAACAAGGAUUCCCCUAGUAACUGCGAGUGAAGCGGGAAGAACUCAAAUUUAAAAUCUGGCGUGCCUCUGGUCGUCCGAGUUGUAGUCUGGAGAAGUGUUUUCCGUGUUGGACCGUGUAUAAGUCCCUUGGAACAGGGCGUCAUAGAGGGUGAGAAUCCCGUCUUUGACACGGACCACCAAUGCUUUGUGAUGCGCUCUCAAAGAGUCGAGUUGUUUGGGAAUGCAGCUCAAAAUGGGUGGUAAAUUCCAUCUAAAGCUAAAUAUAGGCGAGAGACCGAUAGCGAACAAGUACCGUGAGGGAAAGAUGAAAAGCACUUUGGAAAGAGAGUUAAACAGUACGUGAAAUUGCUGAAAGGGAAACGCUUGAAGUCAGUCGUGUCUGCCAGGACUCAGCCUUGCUUCUGCUUGGUGUACUUUCUGGUCAGAUGGGCCAACAUCAAUUUUGACCGUUGGAGAAAGGCUUUGGGAAUGUGGCACCUUCGGGUGUGUUAUAGCCCUUGGUUGUAUACAACGGUUGGGAUUGAGGACUGCAGCACGCCUUUAUGGCCGGGGUUCGCCUACGUACGUGCUUAGGAUGUUGGCAUAAUGGCUUUAAGCGACCCGUCUUGAAACACGG
rnacentral:rRNA from 1 species